AGAGUUUGAUCCUGGCUCAGGAUGAACGCUGGCGGCGUGCCUAAUACAUGCAAGUAGAACGCUGAAGCUUGGUGCUUGCACCGAGCGGAUGAGUUGCGAACGGGUGAGUAACGCGUAGGUAACCUGCCUCUUAGCGGGGGAUAACUAUUGGAAACGAUAGCUAAUACCGCAUAAAAGUCGACAUUGCAUGAUGUUGAUUUGAAAGGUGCAAUUGCAUCACUAAGAGAUGGACCUGCGUUGUAUUAGCUAGUUGGUGAGGUAACGGCUCACCAAGGCGACGAUACAUAGCCGACCUGAGAGGGUGAUCGGCCACACUGGGACUGAGACACGGCCCAGACUCCUACGGGAGGCAGCAGUAGGGAAUCUUCGGCAAUGGGGGCAACCCUGACCGAGCAACGCCGCGUGAGUGAAGAAGGUUUUCGGAUCGUAAAGCUCUGUUGUAAGUCAAGAACGAGUGUGAGAGUGGAAAGUUCACACUGUGACGGUAGCUUACCAGAAAGGGACGGCUAACUACGUGCCAGCAGCCGCGGUAAUACGUAGGUCCCGAGCGUUGUCCGGAUUUAUUGGGCGUAAAGCGAGCGCAGGCGGUUUGAUAAGUCUGAAGUUAAAGGCUGUGGCUCAACCAUAGUUCGCUUUGGAAACUGUCAAACUUGAGUGCAGAAGGGGAGAGUGGAAUUCCAUGUGUAGCGGUGAAAUGCGUAGAUAUAUGGAGGAACACCGGUGGCGAAAGCGGCUCUCUGGUCUGUAACUGACGCUGAGGCUCGAAAGCGUGGGGAGCAAACAGGAUUAGAUACCCUGGUAGUCCACGCC
rnacentral:rRNA from 1 species